GGGGCUAUAGCUCAGCUGGUAGAGCGCUUGCAUGGCAUGCAAGAGGUCGACGGUUCGAAACCGUCUAGCUCCA
rnacentral:tRNA from 1 species